GGUUUUGUGGUCUAGCGGUAUGAUUCUCGCUUAGGGUGCGAGAGGUCCCGGGUUCAAGUCCCGGCAAAGCCC
rnacentral:tRNA from 11 species